UUAUUCUCUAAAUAGUGUGCUAAUGCAUGGAAAACUUCCAAAGUGGCUGUCAUCUUGAGUGACACAGUUAUAGCCUGUGUGCAAACCCUUGAUAAGAAAAUGGAAAAGAAAAAAAAAUCAUCAAGAUAAAAAAAUUGCCUGAAGAUAAUGAAGUAUUUGAGCUGAGAUCCUACCUUCCUGUAUAACAAGAACCUUAACAUCACAGUCAGCUCUUGAUUAUCUGAGCCAGACAGACUGGUUUGAAGAGCAAGAUAUAGCAGUGACCUGGAUUCUGGAUGGUUUAGAGAAUCACCAGGAAGUCAGGAACAAAGAGUUCCUGGGCAGCUGGCACCACAGUGCAGAUCAUGACAUGGAACACAGAGGAAUGGCUGCUGCCAUCUUUGACCAUGGGAUGCCACAUCUCGAAACACCAACUCUGCUGGUCCCCAGAGCCCAGAUACAGCUACUUGUGCUUCUAUCACCGUGUCCCUGGAAACAGAUGUUGCUGCUAUUACUGGAACUGCCAUAAAAGAUUCUCUGCUGCCUGGCUUUUUUGCUCCCCAAUCUGAGCUUAUGAUAAAUGCCUCACUGUUGCUGCAAGGAGGGGGCCAAUACCCAGGACAGUAAGCACUUGGCCUUUCUUCCAUUUCUACCGUGAAAGAUGGCUCUGCCUCCCACCCAAACUCAGAAAGCGGGGAAUUUCCCAAACAUUGGAAAACCUUCAGAUGUGGAGUGCCCUCCCACUAAAAACAUUCCCAUCACUGUCCACUUGCAUCAUUUAGUCCUAGCAUUUUAAAGAAGGUCCCCUUUAGGAACUGAUUUUGAAUCUUCAUAAAUGAUUUUCCUGCUCCUCUUGAGAUAAUCAUAUGGUUUCUCUUAUUUGACCCAUUGAUAUGUUCUAUAAACAGAUUUACUAAUAUUAAAACAGCUUUGCAUUCUUCGGUAAACCCUA
rnacentral:lncRNA from 10 species